rnacentral:rRNA from 1 species
GAUGAACGCUGGCGGCGUGCCUAAUACAUGCAAGUCGAGCGAAUGGAUUGAGAGCUUGCUCUCAAGAAGUUAGCGGCGGACGGGAGAGUAACACGUGGGUAACCUGCCCAUAAGACUGGGAUAACUCCGGGAAACCGGGGCUAAUACCGGAUAACAUUUUGAACCGCAUGGUUCGAAAUUGAAAGGCGGCUUCGGCUGUCACUUAUGGAUGGACCCGCGUCGCAUUAGCUAGUUGGUGAGGUAACGGCUCACCAAGGCAACGAUGCGUAGCCGACCUGAGAGGGGGAUCGGCCACACUGGGACUGAGAAACGGCCCAGACUCCUACGGGAGGCAGCAGUAGGGAAUCUUCCGCAAUGGACGAAAGUCUGACGGAGCAACGCCGCGUGAGUGAUGAAGGCUUUCGGGUCGUAAAACUCUGUUGUUAGGGAAGAACAAGUGCUAGUUGAAUAAGCUGGCACCUUGACGGUACCUAACCAGAAAGCCACGGCUAACUACGUGCCAGCAGCCGCAGUAA